rnacentral:rRNA from 1 species
UAGGGAAUCUUCGGCAAUGGGGGGAACCCUGACCGAGCAACGCCGCGUGAGUGAAGAAGGUUUUCGGAUCGUAAAGCUCUGUUGUUAAGGAAGAACGAGUGUGAGAAUGGAAAGUUCAUACUGUGACGGUACUUAACCAGAAAGGGACGGCUAACUACGUGCCAGCAGCCGCGGUAAUACGUAGGUCCCGAGCGUUGUCCGGAUUUAUUGGGCGUAAAGCGAGCGCAGGCGGUUAGAUAAGUCUGAAGUUAAAGGCAGUGGCUCAACCAUUGUAGGCUUCGGAAACUGUUUAACUUGAGUGCAGAAGGGGAGAGUGGAAUUCCAUGUGUAGCGGUGAAAUGCGUAGAUAUAUGGAGGAACACCGGUGGCGAAAGCGGCUCUCUGGUCUGUAACUGACGCUGAGGCUCGAAAGCGUGGGGAGCGAACAGG